rnacentral:rRNA from 1 species
UGCCUACGGGGGGCAGCAGUGAGGAAUAUUGGUCAAUGGGCGGGAGCCUGAACCAGCCAUGCCGCGUGAAGGCGAGUGCCCUACGGGCGUUAAACUUCUUUUGUGCGGGAGCAAUAAGGGCCACGUGUGGCCCGAUGAGAGUACCGCACGAAUAAGCAUCGGCUAACUCCGUGCCAGCAGCCGCGGUAAUACGGGGGAUGCGAGCGUUAUCCGGAUUCAUUGGGUUUAAAGGGUGCGUAGGUUGUUUUAUAAGUUAGCGGUGAAAUACCGAUGCUCAGCAUCGGGGCUGCCGCUAAUACUGUAGG